AUUCAGAAAUUUCUUGCUGUUUCCAAUCUUUCUACUAAUCUGAAGUUAUUACAAUUAUUUACAUAGACUUCUAAUAUCCAAUACCCAAGUAAUAGUGUCACAAAUAGAGAAAUCACAAGAUGUUAUCAUAUAAGUAUCUUAUUCAGCAACUCUUUGUUGAUUUUUCUUUCUUAGCCUGUUCAGAUCAAGAGACUCUACCAGAUCAGGUUAACCUUAGACUCUUUUAUCAGUUUGGGCUCAUUAGCCUAAGUACGACUCUUUUACACCUUUUUUUUUCUCAAAGAAUUAUUGC
rnacentral:lncRNA from 1 species